CUAAUUCUUUUAAACUACGGAUCUGCUCAGAGAAAUCUGCAAAUCUCGUGUAAAAAUAAGUGAAGCUUUGUGCCAAUUAUUAGGCCUAAGCAGAAGUUUGGGAGAGAGAGAAGUUACUUAUUUGCCUGAUUCCGCACGCUGAGUCCAUGGGGAGGGAAUGAAGUGUACCGCUGGCUUGACAAGCAGCACAGGGAGACGCGGCUGCAGCCCACAGGACUGGGCAGCAGCUGCAAGGCUGCCUCUGAGCAUGGUCAUGGGUCCCAGCCGCAGUGCUCUAAAGAUCAAGAAUUUUGCCUUCUAUUUUCUAUGACCAGAGAUUCCCAUGCAAAGAGAGAGUGUCAAUGAAGACCUCAAAGUCUGGAGAAAAAUGACCUUUCAUGGAAUACAAAAUAUACCUCCUGCUACGUGUUUUUGUCUUACUGACCUCUGAUAACUGAAACACAUGGCUCUGAGUCUGUAGAAAGUCAACUGAUCAAACUCCUCCUCGCCAUGCAUCAACUUUUCAGACUGGUUUUGGGACAAAAAGAUCUCUCACGAGCUGGGGACCUCUUCUCCUUAGAUGACUCUGAGAUUGAAGACAGCCUGACAGAAGCUUUGGAGCAAAUUAAGAUAAUUAGCUCAUCUUCAGAUUACCAAACCAAUAACAAUGACCAGGCAGUAGUUGAAAUCUGUAUCACGAGAAUCACAACAGCCAUCAGAGAGACUGAGUCCAUUGAAAAGCAUGCAAAGGCCCUUGUGGGGCUCUGGGACUCCUGCUUGGAACAUAACCUGAGACCCUUUGGGAAAGAUGAAGAUACUCCUCAUGCAAAAAUCGCAUCUGAUAUCAUGAGUUGCAUUUUACAGAAUUACAACAGACCCUCCGUGAUGGCAUUAGCCAUCCCCAUUGCAGUGAAAUUCCUCCACAGAGGCAACAAAGAACUGUGCAGGAAUAUGUCUAACUACCUGUCUCUGGCCGCAAUUACCAAGGCAGAUCUUCUGGCUGAUCACACAGAAGUUAUAGUAAAGAGCAUACUCCAAGGUAACACCAUGUUGUUGAGAGUGUUACCUGCUGUGUAUGAAAAGCAGCCUCAGCCAAUUAAUAGACACCUGACAGAACUCUUGGCCUUAAUGUCUCAGCUGGAACAGCCAGAACAAUACCAUCUACUACGGCUUCUGCAUGUAGCAGCAAAGAAAAAACAACUGGAGGUAGUUCAGAAGUGUAUUCCUUUCCUAAUUGGGCAUUUGAAGGAUUCAACCCAUAAUGACAUCAUCCUAAACAUCCUUAUAGAGAUAGCAAGCUACGAGCCGGUGGCUUUGAACAGUUUUCUUCCAAUGCUGAAGGAGAUUGGUGAGAGAUUCCCCUACCUCAUUGGACAGAUGGCAAGGAUUUAUGGAGCUGUUGGGCAUGUGGAUGAACUGGAAUAUGCUGGCUAAGCAUCAGAGCGUGUUCAUUACAUCCUCUCUGGGCUUAGAGUCAUGGACACUUUUCAAGUAAAGAAGUGACACACAUCUUGCCCAGGUUGCGUUUCUGUGACAUCCGGCAUGCCUACAAAAACACUUUCAGGAGGAAAAGGAAAAGAAUGACAAAGGCAGCUGAGAACCACAUUACUGUCCUCAUCCUGGCUGUUGAAUAACAUCCUGAGAAAUGGGAGCUGGGUGGAUGAUUUACACCUUUAAAUUACAAAUCAAGGCUAAAAAAAAAAUCUGGGGCCAUUCUACAAGAGGAAGGACCUGUGACUUAAAAGCACAAUUUCCCCAAGGAUGAUCGACUUAGUUAAAACUUUGUGAUACAGGGCAGAGCUGCUGAUUCUUUCCAAAUAUAAGGUCCAAUACUGGUGAUGAAGACACAGAGGAGAGAAAGACAUGGUCCCUGCCCUAGAGGAGCUCACAAUUUGGGAUGAAGAAGAUGUAAAAACAGAAAUUGGAAUUAAAUUUGUUACUUGCUGUUAAUGAAUUUUGAACUGGACCAGGAAGGAAGGAACUAACCCCAUGUGGGGGAGUUUUAGAGGAGCAUUAUAAGUUUGGCUUGUAAGAUGAUAGGGUUAUGUCAGGGGAAGAGGAGGAAGGUAUCCAUGGGAAGUCAUCACAUUCAGUGGCAAUCAGCCAGGAAAAGGUCUUGAGUCUUCUAGAAAUUGUGAAGGACUUCAAGUGCUUGGAGCAUAGGAUGAAUAAUGGAGGGGAGGGAGAGAGAUGAAGCUGGACAGUGGGCUAGGUCAGAUUAUGAAAACUCCUUAUUGAUUUGCAGAUAGUUCCUGUUUUCUACCUUCUCUUGGCUGAUUCUAGGAACAAUAUUUUAUUUCCCUUCAUAGGACAGAUAAGUAAAUGUAAUCCUAUGUACCCUAGAGUUCCUAAGAAACUAAAGAGCUGGCGAAAGGACAAACAGUCCCAAAAUACUUGUAAAUUUAGAGUAGUAAGUGAUGGUUACAAAGGUUACAUGUUGCAAAAAUUUUUAACAAUGUCUUGUAAUUAUCAGCUGUAAUUUGGGCCAACUGACCAAAUCCACAGAGGACCUGCAGCUCCCUGUGAGCUGGACAGCUUCGCAAGUCCCAUGACAUGGCUGCACGUAGAAGGGAUGUCUGCAUGACCAGGAUCAAACCCCAGAAGUAGGCAGUCUGGUCCCCAGAGAUUUUAUCUUUCUCUUUCCAGAGGAGGACCAUCUGACUUUCUUACACUGGUGUCUUGGAGGGAAGUAGGUGCUGCCUCAAGAAAGGCAGGAAGCCACCACUUAGUAAGUGCCCUUUCUAGCCAUGAGCCUAGGAAGUGAACAAACCUCAGAUUCACCAGAAAGGACAACUGGGCAUUGGCAGCAGAUUGGUUGAGGAGGACAAAGCAGCUGCUAAUUCCAGUUCAAAUCCUGAUGCUCUUUUAAGAUGAUAGCAGGUCCUCACCCUGCCUGUAGCUCUCAGACCAAAAUCACUUAAUUUCUAACUACUUCCAAUGGUUAGUAUUUGAAUUUCUUUGCCUAUGGCUUCCCCAACUUCACAAACCAUUCUGCUAACACACAUGGUGUAUGCAUAUGUGAGGAAUGAAUACUGUCUCACGGCAUUCCACAACCAGUGAUGGGAGUUGGUGUAUUGUCAACUCCCAUAACUCCUUUACCCCUCAAAUGAAAUAAACUCCCCCUAGAAUUUUCCAGACUACUUUUUGAGCUGUUUGCCUUCUCUUUCUCACUCUUCUAUUCCCCUAUUGGUUUCCUGAAGUUUCCAAAUAAAUGAUUUGCACUUAAAUCAUCUCAGGGUCUGCCCAUUUCUGGGAAGCCCAAUCCAAGACAAAGACAUUUCUAGAACUUCCGUAAGCCACUGCAAUCUGCCCUGCUCUGAAUAUACAUUUGAGAAUGUACAUCUAUAACACAGAGUUUAGCAUCUGAUUGUUUUCCAGUUGCAUUUUCUUUUUGUUUAUUUGGUGCGUGAAUACAUACACUCCCAACCCACUAUAAGCACUCUGAAGGAAGGAACCAUACCUUACCCCUCCUCAUGACCCUGGCACAACCCUUCCAAGUAAUUAGCUCAUAGCAAGUGGUUCACAGGUACUUGCCAACUAACUGUUCCAUAGAGACUGGGACUUGACUGACCAUCAGUAUCUUUUACUAGUAGAUGGCAUCUGAUGACAUGACAGGUUGGGUUUGAGGAGACCAGGAAAACUAUAGACAUUGGGUUCCAGUCAACAGUUGUGGCUACUGGUUUUUCAGGAUCUGCCAGUCUCCAUCCCAUGUGGUCCCCAAAGUGCUCAGACAAGCAGUAUUGAGUGUCACUCAGGAACUUGAAUCAGAAUCCAUAAUUUAACAAGAUGUCCAAGUGGCGUGUAUGCACAUGAAAGUAGAAGUAGUACUGUUCCUGAGGAUCCAGGCCCUACAGGAUUUAUCUGCUAUAGAACCUGGAGGAGUCUAGACAUGCCCACACAUAUAUAUACAUGCUUGAUGCAUAUAUGUUUCCAGACAUACACACAGCUAUACCCACACAGUUUUCUUUGUGAGACCCACUUGUUUUUAUGUAAAUAAUCAAUAACCUUUUACAGUCAUAAUCUUUGAUAAUGUCUGUAUAUACAUGAAGUCAGGAAAUAUCAUGCAUUAUUGACAAUACAGUUUAUGAACAUUUAUCCAAUACCUGCUGUAUGCAAGGCAGUAUAAGGAGUGCAAUGUUAAAUAAAAUUCAAUCCCUCUGCUAUAAAAAAGGACUUUUUUAUUCACUUAGAAAUGAUCCUUUACUCACUUGAGCCCAGGAAUUCAAGGCAGUGAGCUAUGAUUGUGCCUCUACACUCCAGUGUGGCAACAAAGCAAGACGCCCUCUCUUAAAAAAUAAAAGAAAAUGAUUCUUUCCUAGGCAAAAACUGUGAUGCAUUGACAUUUUUGUGUAAUAUUAUUAGAAUUACUCACUUCAUUCCCACUCCUGUAUAAAGAUAGAGAGUGUUCUGAAUUAAUGGUUCACACAGAAUAUCACAGGAGAUAUGUACAAGUCUUUUCUAUUGUUUAAGUUCUUGUUUUUAUUUUUUUAAUGUUAUUUGAUUUUUUUGUAGUUCAAGCAGGAUCUGAAAGCCUUCCCAGAACUCCCUGCAGUAUUUGACACAGAGGUAUUAUCACUAUGAUGUAAAAUUGUGUAACAGUUGUACUGUCAAAAUACAUGAAGAGAGUACUUGAAAGUAGAUGAAUUUUGUUGCAAAGCCAUGACUAACUAUAAUGUUUUGGAAUUAUACUAACAUUUUAGCUUUCUUCAUUAUUUAUCACAAAAGUUAAGCCUGUAUUUAUUUUAUAGUGAGUAGGACUUAGGAACUUAGUACUGGUUUACAUGAACUGAGCUUAAGCCCUCUAAGAAAAUAUACAUCUAACAGUUGACUUAACAGCAAUACACUAUCACACUAAAAUAUUCAUAGGUAUAGAUCAUAAUAUUAACCAAAAUGGUUGCUGUUAUCUAUGAGUAUUCAUGUAGAUGACAUGUAAUAAAUUACAGAGAGGGUAUCUUGACAUCAGUUUAUUUCUUGCUAAGUAAUAAAGUAAAUGAAGAAA